rnacentral:rRNA from 1 species
UACGGAGGGUGCGAGCGUUAUCCGGAAUCACUGGGUUUAAAGGGUGCGUAGGCGGCUGAGAAAGUCAGUGGUGAAAGCUCAUCGCUUAACGAUGGAAUUGCCAUUGAUACUAUUUGGCUUGAAUAAUGAUGAGGUUGGCGGAAUGUGGCAUGUAGCGGUGAAAUGCUUAGAUAUGCCAUAGAACACCGAUUGCGAAGGCAGCUGACUGGAGAUUUAUUGACGCUGAGGCACGAAAGCGUGGGGAUCAAACAGG